UACGGAGGAUCCGAGCGUUAUCCGGAUUUAUUGGGUUUAAAGGGUGCGUAGGCGGCUUUAUAAGUCAGGGGUGAAAGACGGCAGCUCAACUGUCGCAGUGCCUUUGAUACUGUAGAGCUUGAAUGUGGUUGAAGAUGGCGGAAUGAGACAAGUAGCGGUGAAAUGCAUAGAUAUGUCUCAGAACUCCGAUUGCGAAGGCAGCUGUCUAAGUCAUUAUUGACGCUGAUGCACGAAAGCGUGGGGAUCGAACAGGAUUAGAUACCCUGGUAGUCCACGCCCUAAACGAUGAUAACUCGAUGUUGGCGAUACACAGUCAGCGUCUUAGCGAAAGCGUUAAGUUAUCCACCUGGGGAGUACGCCCGCAAGGGUGAA
rnacentral:rRNA from 1 species